rnacentral:rRNA from 2 species
GCGGGAAGUUUUCUGAUGAGAAGUCUGACGGAGCACGCCGCGUGAGUGAUGAAGGCUUUCGGGUCGUAAAACUCUGUUGUUAGGGAAGAACAAGUGCUAGUUGAAUAAGCUGGCACCUUGACGGUACCUAACCAGAAAGCCACGGCUAACUACGUGCCAGCAGCCGCGGUAAUACGUAGGUGGCAAGCGUUAUCCGGAAUUAUUGGGCGUAAAGCGCGCGCAGGUGGUUUCUUAAGUCUGAUGUGAAAGCCCACGGCUCAACCGUGGAGGGUCAUUGGAAACUGGGAGACUUGAGUGCAGAAGAGGAAAGUGGAAUUCCAUGUGUAGCGGUGAAAUGCGUAGAGAUAUGGAGGAACACCAGUGGCGAAGGCGACUUUCUGGUCUGUAACUGACACUGAGGCGCGAAAGCGUGGGGAGCAAACAGGAUUAGAUACCCCGGUAGUCA